rnacentral:rRNA from 1 species
UGCAAGUCGAGCGGACAGAUCGGGAGCUUGCUCCCUGAUGUUAGCGGCGGACCGCUGAGAUAACACGUGGGUAACCUGCCUGUAAGACUGGGAUAACUCCGGGAAACCGGGGCUAAUACCGGAUGCUUGUUUGAACCGCAUGGUUCAAACAUAAAAGGUGGCUUCGGCUACCACUUACAGAUGGACCCGCGGCGCAUUAGCUAGUUGGUGAGGUAACGGCUCACCAAGGCAACGAUGCGUAGCCGACCUGAGAGGGUGAUCGGCCACACUGGGACUGAGACACGGCCCACACUCCUACGGGAGGCAGCAGUAGGGAAUCUUCCGCAAUGGACGAAAGUCUGACGGAGCAACGCCGCGUGAGUGAUGAAGGUUUUCGGAUCGUAAAGCUCUGUUGUUAGGGAAGAACAAGUACCGUUCGAAUAGGGCGGUACCUUGACGGUACCUAACCAGAAAGCCACGGCUAACUACGUGCCAGCAGCCGCGGUAAUACGUAGGUGGCAAGCGUUGUCCGGAAUUAUUGGGCGUAAAGGGCUCGCAGGCGGUUUCUUAAGUCUGAUGUGAAAGCCCCCGGCUCAACCGGGGAGGGUCAUUGGAAACUGGGGAACUUGAGUGCAGAAGAGGAGAGU